GACGAACGCUGGCGGCGUGCUUAACACAUGCAAGUCGAACGGAAAGGCCCCCAUCUUGGUGGGGGUGCUCGAGUGGCGAACGGGUGAGUAACACGUGGGUGAUCUGCCCUGUACUUCGGGAUAAGCUUGGGAAACUGGGUCUAAUACCGGAUAGGACCAUGGUUGAGUGUCUCCUGGUGGAAAGAUGAUUGUUUUGGUGCAGGAUGGGCGCUCGGCCUAUCAGCUGGUUGGUGGGGUAAUGGCCUACCAAGGCGUCGACGGGUAGCCGGCCGGAGAGGGUGGACGGCCACGUUGUGACUGAGGUACGGGCCAGCCACGGACGGGAGGAGGCGGGGAGGAAGAUUGCUCAAUGGGAGCAAGCCUGAGGCAGCGCGGGCGCGUGGGGGAGGACGGCCUUUGGGUAAGAACUUCCUUUGGUUAGGAACGAAGGCGCGCUUUUUUCGGGCGUGGUGACGGUACCUUAGUGAAGAAGCACCGGCUAACUACGUG
rnacentral:rRNA from 1 species